AACGCGAAGAACCUUACCUGGUCUUGACAUCCCAGGAAUCCUGCAGAGAUGCGGGAGUGCCUUCGGGAACCUGGAGACAGGUGCUGCAUGGCUGUCGUCAGCUCGUGUAGUGAGAUGUUGGGUUAAGUCCCGCAACGAGCGCAACCCUUGCCCUUAGUUGCCAUCAUUAAGUUGGGAACUCUAAGGGGACCGCCGGUGACAAACCGGAGGAAGGUGGGGAUGACGUCAAGUCAUCAUGGCCCUUAUGACCAGGGCUACACACGUGCUACAAUGGUCGGUACAGAGGGUCGCCAACCCGCGAGGGGGAGCCAAUCCCUUAAAACCGAUCGUAGUCCGGAUCGCAGUCUGCAACUCGACUGCGUGAAGUCGGAAUCGCUAGUAAUCGCGAAUCAGCCAUGUCGCGGUGAAUACGUUCCCGGGUCUUGUACACACGC
rnacentral:rRNA from 1 species